CUGUUUUCUUCUUGAGGACAUGAGUUACAGACUUUUUUGUCUUUUGUUUCUUCCUUGCAUUCUCUCAGUAUCUUCUGAUUUUUUUUUGUUUCUUAUUUAUUUGUUUUAUUCUUUGUUUUUCCUGUUGGAGGCUUCACUACUGGUGGCAGUCAGACAAGUUUCAACUGCUAAAGAAUUCUCAGAGUACUGGUAACUAUAAUGCUUAGGAAUCUACAGGUUAUUGCAAGAAAAGAAUGCAAAAUAGCAGCAGCAUUGAAAUAAAAGAAAUGCAUCUCAACCAAAGAUCUGCCUCACAGCAUAGAUCAGGAGAAGCCAAGAACUAGCUCUUACUGUCCUCCAUCUGCAGGACCACAGCGGACACACUUUUUCUCUCAAAUCAGAACCACCAAGAUAGGCACAGAACACCCUGGAACCAGGGAACCUAGUGUAGGCACAUUCUUGUGAAGUAACCGGCCCCAGUGGCAGAGCCCUCUGGAAGUCUCACUUAGACCAGGUGUAAACCAUCAUCUCACUGUUAUCAAUAAACGAUGCUCACAAGCUGGUACAAACUACCAGACACUGCCCUUUGGCCCCUCGGUUGAAAAGCAACACUAUUAAUCAGUACAACUCACACCUUGACUAGGAGUCAAUACUGUCUUGGCACAUCUCUCACUUCAGCAAAACAGCUCAGACCAAUUCCAGGCACGCUGGGAUCAACCCUCAGACCAUAGCUUUUCUUAAAUAAAACUGUGCAACGAAAACACUGACUGAAACUCUGGAUACACGUGCAUGGCUUACCUCUGACUCUUGGUGAACAAGCAUUUUCAUCGGGGAACACCAAACGGAAAUUUUGGAAACUUCAUUAUCCGAGGCAACUCAGACUCUCUAGGAAAGGUUAUGAUCCGCGAGAAGCCGGAAGUCAGAUAACUACCCAUCGGGAAACCUCUCGCGGGACAGCAAGGCCUGCCGCGAGAUGUCGUCGGCCGCCGCUCUGCGCUCGUCCUGCUGGAAACCUGGCCGCGGGAACUCACAGCCCUGUCGUUUUCGUGCGCUUUCCGUCCUACAUCUGGAAUGGAGUGACUGCUGUGGCAAUUCCUGGAGAAGAUUUUUUAAUUGUUGCUUUUGACAGUUUGGUGAAGGAUUUUCAAUUCACAUCUGGCCCCAAAUGUUAUAAAUUAACAGACAAAACAAACAUUGGAUGCGGCGGUUUUCAUGGAGCCUGAGGCUGACAAGCGUUAUUGAAGCAAGACUAAAGAUGUAUACGCAUUCCAGUAUUAAGGCGUGACUAAGGGGGCUGUUGCUGUGAUGCCGUCUACAAUCCUCUCUCCGAGGUGCUUCUUUCCAUACUGUUUGCAACAUCUUCAGGGUGAAGAAGUAAAGGGAGUCAUGUACAGCUUGGACGGUGUCAGGGUAGGGUGUCUGUUGGUUCACGGUCCUGGGAUUUCCCAGGUGAAAUUCAAAACUGGCCUGUGUCCAUGGAGAGCAAGGAGAGACUGAAGACGGAGGCAGACCACUCCAAAUUGAUAGUGAGUUUCUAUUUAUAGAAGUGGCCAAGAAAAAGCUGGCUGUCUGAGAUGUUGGAGAGAGACAGUUUGCAGCCCCUGAGAGGUCGGAAUAGAGGAACCCUAAGCAUAAGAAAAUAGAACCACCACCAUCAUCAAGACAAAAAUUCUGAGAUUCCAUUAUCAAGAAGUAAUCGCCAUGCUGAAGUCUAGUAGGAAAGACUACUUAUUGCUUUCACUGGGAUUUGCCAUUGAACCAGCAAACAAGAACUGAAAAAGAUUUUAACAAGGUGGAAAUGAGAGGACAGUGGAUCUGGGUAAAAUAGAAAACAAACAGAAGACAUCCAGUACAAGAAGACCAUCCGGUUCCAAAGCCAUAUUUUUAAUCACUAUGUUAUUAAGCCAUUCUUAAAAAAGACGUUGUAUGAUACGAAUAUUUGUACAGAAAGUUUGUUCUGCAAGCUAAUGUAUGAAAAAGGACAGGGCGGGGGCUGGCCCCGUGGCUGAGUGGUUAAGUUCGCACGCUCCACUGCAGGUGGCCCAGUGUUUCGUUGGUUCGAAUCCUGGGCGCGGACACGGCACUGCUCAUCAAACCACGCUGAGGCAGCGUUCCACAUGCCACAACUAGAAGGACCCACAAUGAAGAAUAUACAACUAUGUACUGGGGGGCUUUGGGGAGAAAAAGGAAAAAAUAAAAUCUUUAAAAAAAAAAAAGGACAGGGCGGAUACUGGAAGUGGGGAAAUCAGGUUGAUUUGCAAUGAUCAAAGAGAGAGCAUUGAGGGCCUACAACUGUUGUUGCAGUAUGUGUGGACUGAUUGUGAGUACAUUUCAGAGGUAGAGUCAACAGUACUUGACAACUAAAUUGCAUAUGAAAAUAUGAUAAAAGAGAAUGAAGAAGUCAUCUUUGUAGGCAUGGAGGUCUUGCACAAAAUGGCACUAAUAAAAGAAACAGACAAAAUAGAAAUCGGAGCAGGUUUAAAAAGGAUCAAGAUUAUUUAAUUUGGGGGCAGACUAUAUUUGAAAUUCUAAUGGAAUAUACCAGUGAAAACAUCUAGCCAGUUGUUGGAAAUGCAGCAGUAUAUCUCUUGGGGGGAGGUCAGAAUUUGGAAUACCAACGAGGGAGUCAUCUGCAAGGAGGUGAUAUUUAUAGUCAUGAGUUAGGAUAAGAAAAAAAGACAUUAUAUAUGUGGAGAAGUGCUUUCCAUAGAAUAUACAAUUUAGAUGAAAGGUUAAAUUCACUUGAAAG
ensembl:lncRNA